rnacentral:lncRNA from 1 species
AAGUUGUUGUACAUGCCAUGUUCGAUUAUUUUGCAUUACGUAAGUUGUUUUUUUUGAUGUGCCAUGUUGCAUUUAGUUGGAUUAGCUAAGUUAUUCAACAUGUCAUGCUCGAAUAAGUUACAUUAAUUUGUUAGUUAUGGCAUGCCCGAUUAUUUUGCAUGACGUAAGUUGUUUGUUUGAUAUGCUAUGUCGGAUUAAGUUGAAUUGGGUAAGUUGUAAGAUAUGGCAUGUUGGAUUAAGUUGGAUUUUGGGUAAGUUGUAAGAUAUGGCAUGUUGGAUUAAGUUGGAUUUUGGGUAAGUUGUAAGAUAUGGCAUGUUGGAUUAAGUUGGAUUUUGGGUAAGUUGUAAGAUAUGGCAUGUUGGAUUUUUGUUAAAUUGUAAGAUAUGGCAUGUUAGAUUUAGUUGGAUGUAGUAAGUUGUUCGACAUGCCAUGCCCGAUUAUUUUGCAUUAAGUUGUUAGAUAUGGCAUGUUGGAUGUAGUAAGUUGUUCGACAUGCCAUGUCCGAUUAUUUUUGCAUUACGUAAGUUGUUUGUUUGAUAAGGUAUGUUGGAUUAAGUUGAUUUGGGUAAGUUGUUUGAUAUGGCAUGUUGGAUGUAGUAAGUUGUUCGACAUGCCAUGUCCGAUUAUUUUUGCAUUAUGUAAGUUAUUUGUUUGAUAUGGCAUGUUGGAUUAAGUUGGAUUACGUAAUUUGUUUCUUUGACAUGUCAUGUCAGAUUAUUUUGCAUUGCGUAAGUUGUUUGUUCGACAUGCCAUGCCGGAUUAUUUUUGCAUUAUGUAAGUUGGUUGUUUAAUGUGCCAUGUCGGAUUUAGUUGGAUUAGGUAAGCUGUUCGACAUGCCAUGCUCAAUUAAAUUGCAUUAAGUUGUUAGAUAUUGGCAUGUCGGAUUUAGUUGGAUUUGGUAAGUUGUUAGAUAUUGGCAUAUUGGAUUGAGUUGGAUUGUGUUGGAUUGUGUUAGAUUGUGUUGGAUUGCGUAAGUUGUUGGACAUGCCAUGCCCGAUUAUUAUGCAUUAUAUAAAGUUGUUUGUUCAAUAUGGCAUGUUGUAUUUAGUUGGAUUAAGUUAGUUAUUCGACAUGCCAUGCCCGAUUAUUAUGCAUUACGUAAGUUGUUUGUUCGAUAUGUCACACUCGAAGAAUUUACAAUAAGUAAGUUUUUCGACAUGGUAUGUUGAAUUAAGUUGGAAUAAGUUAUUCGUCCCAUAUGCCAUGCCCGAUUAAUUUGCAUUAAGUAAGUUGUUAGAUAUACCAUGUCCAAACAAAUUUAAUUAAAUAAGUUAUUAAAAACAGUGAUUUAAAACUGAAUCGUUUAUCGUUUAAUUCUGAUAAAUAUUUAUAUAUAUAUAUAUAUAUUUAAAUAUAGGUUUAUACCAAUUAAAUGGCAAAGUUAAAAAACUUGAUAAAUAAAAUAAUAUCAUACAAAAAAAAAAAAAAACGA